rnacentral:rRNA from 1 species
UACGGAGGGGGCUAGCGUUGUUCGGAAUUACUGGGCGUAAAGCGCACGUAGGCGGCUUUGUAAGUUAGAGGUGAAAGCCCAGGGCUUAACUCUGGAAUUGCCUUUAAGACUGCAUCGCUAGAAUCGUGGAGAGGUGAGUGGAAUUCCGAGUGUAGAGGUGAAGUUCGUAGAUAUUCGGAAGAACACCAGUGGCGAAGGCGACUCACUGGACACGUAUUGACGCUGAGGUGCGAAAGCGUGGGGAGCAAACAGG